rnacentral:rRNA from 1 species
AUUGAACGCUGGCGGCAUGCCUUACACAUGCAAGUCGAACGGCAGCACGGGUGCUUGCACCUGGUGGCGAGUGGCGAACGGGUGAGUAAUACAUCGGAACAUGUCCUGUAGUGGGGGAUAGCCCGUCGAAAGCCGGAUUAAUACCGCAUACGAUCUACUGAUGAAAGCGGGGGACCUUCUGGCCUCGCGCUAUAGGGUUGGCCGAUGGCUGAUUAGCUAGUUGGUGGGGUAAAGGCCUACCAAGGCGACGAUCAGUAGAUGGUCUGAGAGGACGACCAGCCACACUGGGACUGAGACACGGCCCAGACUCCUACGGGAGGCAGCAGUGGGGAAUUUUGGACAAUGGGCGAAAGCCUGAUCCAGCAAUGCCGCGUGUGUGAAGAAGGCCUUCGGGUUGUAAAGCACUUUUGUCAGGAAAGAAAUCCUUGGCUCUAAUACAGGCGGGGGAUGACGGUACCGGAAGAAUAAGCACCGGCUAACUACGUG